rnacentral:lncRNA from 1 species
AAGGCGCCCGACCAGGGAGCGCCGACCAGAAUGCGCCGACCUCGCGACGCUCGAGCUGAAGGCGCCCAACUGGGCAACUAGCUCGGCUCGGCACCCGGCCAGGUGCCGAGCCCCGAAAUGCCUUGUCCAAAUAUUCGACCCCGGCCUGAUUCCUUGAGGGAACCUGACCCUAGAUAUCCAACUCCACCGUACUCUGCUAC